GAUGAACGCUGGCGGCGUGCCUAAUACAUGCAAGUCGAGCGAAGCGGGGACGGGUGAGUAACACGUGGAUAACCUCCUAUAAGACUGGGAUAACUUCGGGAAACCGGAGCUAAACCGGAUGCUUAUAGAUGGAUCCGCGCUGCAUUAGCUAGUUGGUAAGGUAACGGCUUACCAAGGCAACGAUGCAUAGCCGACCUGAGAGGGUGAUCGGCCACACGGGGACGGAGACACGGUCCAGACUCCGAGGGGCGGCAGCAGUAGGUAAGCGUCCGCAAGGGGCGAAAGUCUGACGGAGCAACGCCGCGUGAGUGAUGAAGGUCUUCGGAUCGUAAAACUCUGUUAUUAGGGAAGCGGUAAUUAAUAAGUAAGCCACGGCUAACUACGCGCCAGCAGCCGCGGUAAUUC
rnacentral:rRNA from 1 species